UACGUAGGGUGCGAGCGUUGUCCGGAAUUAUUGGGCGUAAAGAGCUCGUAGGCGGCCUGUCGUGUCGGUUGUGAAAGCCCCGGGGCUUAACCCCGGGUCUGCAGUCGAUACGGGCAGGCUAGAGUUCGGGUAGGGGAGAUCGGAAUUCCUGGUGUAGCGGUGAAAUGCGCAGAUAUCAGGAGGAACACCGGUGGCGAAGGCGGAUCUCUGGGCCGAUACUGACGCUGAGGAGCGAAAGCGUGGGGAGCGAACAGG
rnacentral:rRNA from 1 species